rnacentral:rRNA from 1 species
UACAGGGGGUGCAAACGUUGCUCGGAAUCAUUGGGCGUAAAGCGCACGUAGGCGGUCUGUUAUGUCGGAUGUGAAAGCCCUCGGCUCAACUGAGGAAGUGCAUCCGAAACUGGCAGGCUAGAGUACUAAAGAGGGUCGCGGAAUUCCCGGUGUAGAGGUGAAAUUCGUAGAUAUCGGGAGGAACACCGGUGGCGAAGGCGGCGACCUGGGUAGAUACUGACGCUGAGGAGCGAAAGCGUGGGGAGCGAACAGG